rnacentral:lncRNA from 1 species
UUUUGUGUCCUGACUGCUAGGACUAAAGGCGUGUACUACCACCACGCCUGACUAGCACUUUUCUUUAUAGUUUAAUGAACCUGCUUUUUUUUUUUGGUCCCUUGUGGUGGAGGUGGCUUCCUCUGUGAACUUGUGCUCUUAACUACUCUUGUUUACUAGACUUUCCCACACCAGUGAAGGAAGGCUCUUCAUUGACCCAUAGUUGGGAACAAUUUUGCUGCUAUGUCCUGCGGAUCCUUGAAUGCCUAGAGCAUUCUCAUCUUAUGGCUCGUGACCCCUUUGGGGGUUUUUGAAUGAUUGUUGAAUGACCCCUUCACAUUUACAUUAUGAUUCAUAAGAGUAGCAAGAUUACAGCUAUGAGGUAGCAACAAAGAUAAUUUUAUGGUUGGAGCAGCAUGAGGUUGCAGGUUUAGUGUGAUUGAGAUCCACUGACUUAAAGCCUGAUGAUGUGCUAUUGCACCUAAGCUAAGUAGGACCAUCCUGCCGUCCUGUAAAGAAAGUGGGUGCUUUACCUAGACAGCAUGGCUAUUUCCUAGUAGUGAGGGAGGAGUCCUCUACAAGAAGUUUGGGGCUGAUGGGAAUUGGGAAAAGAAAAGUUGAUGCUGAAUAGAUGACUAGCAAGUGUUCACAAAGAAGGAGGUCCUGGAACUAAGUCUUCCUGGGUGAUAACUUUACUGUGAAUGGCAUGCUAAUACGAUGCAAAGAGCCAGAUGUAGUAUAAAUGAUACCAACAGACUUGGGUCACUGGCUUCCUUGCUUGAUGUUUCUGUGGUUUGGGUACUCUGCUAUGCUCUUGUUAGUGGCUAUUCUGCCUUGGCAGGAAUUGCCAUCACUGUCCUCUUGUGUUACUGCAUAUGCAUGGUGAUUUUCAUAUAGAUGAUUUGAGGAUUCUGUCAGAUCUGAGAAGGCAUGAUAGUCUCACAUGAAAACAAGAAGACACACUACUCUUGAUUGGUUUUGCAUUCAUUACACUCAUGCAGCAUCUUUUCACGUGAGUAUCUCCCCCACCCCUUUUUUGUCUUGUUUUAUGUUUUGAGACAGGAUUUCUUUGUGUAGCCUUCCUUAGCUAUCCUAGAACUAACUGUAUAGACCAGGCUAGCCUUGAACUCACAGAAAUCUGCCUGGCUUUGCCUCCAGAGUGCUGAGAUCAAAGAUAGAUGAACCACUGACAGGCUGUUUUGAUCAUUUUGAAGACAAGGUCUAGAACUUGCUAUGUAGCAAAGGCUGGUCUUGAACUUCUUUCUCUUCUGUCUCUACCUCCCAAAUCAUGAGAUUUUAGCUAUAUGCCAUCACAUCUGACCUCUUUUUUGUUGUUUUCUUGCUUUUUGAAGUUUUAAGAUUUAGCCAGGCAGUCAUAGCGCUGGGCAGUAGAAAGAGAGGCAGGUACAAGGCCAACCUGGUCUAUAGAGUGGGUUCCAGGACAGCCAUGGCUACACAAAAACCCUGUCUUGAAAAGCUGAAAAAAAUUUUUUUUUAAAGUCUAUUUGUUCAUUUGUGUGUGUGUGUGGAGGGGGUUCAGUGCCUACAAAGCCAGAAGAGGGAAUUGGAAAGUCUGGCGAUGGAGUUAUAGGAAGUUCUAUGAACUGCCUUACUUGGGUGCUGGGACGGUACUUUAGUUAUGGGCUCUUAACCCUGGCGUCAUCGGCCCAGACACUUUACUUUAUAUCUUCUUUCCUCCCUCCUUCUCUUUCUUUCACAGGGACUCACCUUGUAUGCCUGGCCGUCCUGAAACUAACUAGGUAGACCAGGUUGGCCUUGAACUCACAGAAAUCCACUUGGUUCUUCCCCAGUCCUGGGAUUAAAGAUGUGUGUCACCACAUUGGUUCCCUGUUUUUUUUGUUUUUGUUUUUUUUUUUUUUGUUGUUGUUUUGUUUUUGGUUUUUUGAGACAGGGUUUCUCUGUGUAGUCCUGGCUGUCCUGGAACUCACUUUGUAGACCAGGCUGGCCUCGAACUCAGAAAUCCGCCUGCCUCUGCCUCCUGAGUGCUGGGAUUAAAGGCGUGCACCACCACGCCCGGCCUGGUUCCCUGUUUUCUUGAGAUGGGGUCUUAGCUCACACUGGUCUUGAACUCAGCGGUUCUAUCUCAGUUUACCAAGUACUGGGAUUAUAAGAGUACCUCCAUCCCACCUACUACCCACAGUUUGUCUUUUUUUAUAUUUUAUUUAUAUGUCUCUGUGUUUGUAUGUAUGUAUGUAUGUGUGUAUGUGUAUGUAGUACAGAGUACAGGUGAAGGUCAGAGGACAACUUGCAAGAGUCUGUUCUCUCCUUCCACCAUGUGAAUCUUGGGGUUUGAACUUAAUUGGCAGGCUUGGAAGCUAAGCUGGCUCCUUUACCCAUUGAUGUAUUUCUCCAAGGCCUGAAUGUCAUGGAUGGUGGGGUUUUUUGCUGUUGUUGUUUUCAUUUUUAGACUUACUUUCUUAUCUUUCGUGUCUGUGUCUGGGUAUAAGUGUAUGCUGUGUACUGCAUGUAGGAAGGUGUGCUUGGAGGCCAGAAGAGGGCGCUGGAUUUCCUAGAACAAGAAUAAUGAUAACUGGUUGUGAGCCUGAUGUGCCUGUUCUAUAGCCCCACAUUUUUAACAGGUAUGAAUUAGCAGGGUAUUGGCAGUUUGCUGAAUGGUUUGCACUGAGGCCCAGGGAUUAUGGCACACUAACUGGCAGACUUGGGUUUUACUUUCCUUGGUAGGUGAUCCUGGCCCACAAGUUUGAUUUUGGUUGGGUUUCCUGACAAAUCUUAAUGGUCAGGUCUGAAGUAAGCCUUGCCACUUGGCUGCUGGUUUUAACCCUUAAUUUCUGAAAUGAUUUAUGUUUGCUGCUCUUACCAUUCUUGUUAGCUGUGUCCUCCCCUGAACAUAGAUAGUCUCCUGGAUCUUUUCCUAAUGUCUUUCUGAGGCCAACACCAUGGUAUACUCCAGGUCAGGCUUAGUUUCUGCUGCCAUUGACAUGGAGUAGACUUCAGAUGGUGUUGACAGCAGGAGCAGUAUAGUGGCUUGCCUGGGUUCUUGCCACACAGCCCUUUCCACUCAGAAAACAAGAGGAUCUUUUAGACAUGGUAAUUAGCCCUUGCUCUCCAGCCCUCUUGCUAGAGGAACUAUUAGGCCAGUCUGUCAACUUAUUGAGUGUUUCUGGUGAUGGCUUAAGUAAACAACAACAAAAAAGAAAGAAAAUAAUUUUUUUCAAGACAGUUUCUCUGUAUAUCCUUGGCAGCCCUGAAACUUGCUCUGCACACUAUCAAAGGCCAGCUUCAACAACCAGAGCGUUUAAGCUGAUUGGGGUUGGUGCUAAUAGCCAUUGAGGGGGUUGGGGAGUGGGGGGUCAGCCCUAGUAGUGCUGCCAUGGGAGCAAAACCUAGUUAUCUGGAGCUGGUAGUCUCUGUGACUGGCAAGAAACUCUGAAUUCUUUAAACUCUUUGGGGGACGGU